rnacentral:lncRNA from 1 species
AAAAAACACAACAACACAUUCCAAUUUAUUUAUUUAUUGCAAUUAAAAGUCAACACAGAUGUAUGUGCAGUAAAUAUGUAGCUUGACUAAUCAUUUGAGGAAAUACCAUUCUGUUUUCAUUGUUUUAUUCUGGUAUACAUUAGAGUAUUAUUUUUGAUAAUUUGUAGAUGCUUAUGUGAUAUAUUUUGUGAAAAAAACGUUUAUGUCUUUUCAUAAUCAAACUGGAUUUUAAAUCUGAAAAAUCUUGUACGUCAUGAUUCUGUAAAUGCUUUUCUUGGUCCAAUCGAGAUGUAUAUAAAGCAUUCCUCGAUGCGAAGAUUUUGAAUAUAGAGGAGUGCAAAAUAUUUAAAUAAAUAAAUAGUCUCUUAAAUAUCUUUGUAGUUUUCUAUAAAUAUUGUACAUAAAAUCAUGCAUGAAUGUAAUAAUAGACGACUGUUGAACUUCUUCUUGACACUAUUGCCAGUGCUUUAUUUGUAUUUUUAAUCUUAUUAUACUCUGAUCAUUUCUUGCAUUCUAAGUCUUGUAUGCAUUGUUUACUUUUCACAGA